UCACUCGAACCCUAACUCUCACUUUGACUACGAUUGACACCGGCACCUCCUUCGACGCUCUCUGACCUGAGCUCAUUCUCUCUCACUCUUGCCUCCUUCCUCUCAUGCUCUAUUUCCAUGGCUACUGUCUCUCCCUCAUCAACCACCUCCGUCCCCUCACCGGCGCCAUCGCCUCUGCGGGCAAGCUCUCUCCGGCCGCAAGCUGGUGCUUCUCGUCCAACAGAAGGCGGAGUGGCGGGAGAGGAAACGCGCCCGACCCAGGAAGCGACGGGAAUCAGGAUCCGACGGUGAAACCGAGUCGAGGUCCGAGAAGAAGAGAAUCAGAAGAAAGAGAGGAAAAUGGAGAGAGAAGAAGACGACCCAGUGAGCGAGGUUCUCAGAGAUCGAUUCAGCUCUGCACCAUCUCUAUCGCUGAUGCCGAAGGUACUAAAAUCUUCACACUCAUUAAUUCGACGGCUUUUGAUUUCGUUUCUGGUUUUUUUCUCAGUUUUCAAUUAUAGUUCUCCAAGCAGCGAAGAGAAGGGGCAUGGAGAUAUCAGAACCCGUGGUGGCUUGCAUUUCCGACUUGACCUUCAAAUUAAUUUACUGGUAGUUGCUGGGGUUUCUUUGGGCACCCAAAAUAUAAUGGUGCAAGGUUUGCUGCUUGUAUAAUAUUCGUGGGACUGAUGUUGAUUACGGUCCAGUUGUUCAUGCCUUUGCGAUAGUUACUCUGAACUCAGCUUUCUUCUAUGUAGACAAAAGGAAGGUUGAAUCUGAGGUCAGUUGACUCAUAUGUAUCUAUUUUUAUCAUCUUCUCAGGCAAUAUUCAUAUGGUGGUGAAUACUGGUUUUCAGUUUGAACUUAUCAAGACUCUGAAUGCACAAAACAGGUCGCCCUGUACUUGUUGGCACAACUAGUGUUGAGCAGAGUGAUUCAUUGUCUGAGCAUUUGCAAGAAGUUGGCAUUCCCCAUGAGGUUCACAACUAGAGCAGGAGAGAGACCUGGAGGGUGCAGCAGCUAAACAUAAGAGAAAGCAGGCUUCAUCAAACUUUGAACAGACCUCUAGUAUAGAUGGUUCAAAUGUUGACCAUGAGAGAGACCUGGAAGAUGCAAAGGAUAGAUCUAAGAGAAAGAAGGUUCCUACAAUUCAUGACUGCAAGCAGUCUCCUUGCAUUCCAUCUGGUUCAGUCUCGCUUUCUCAAGGAUCUCUCACAAUUCGAACUCCAAUUUCCCGAUCGGGUUCAGUGAGGGUGAAUGGGAAAGAGAUAAGUUACAGUGAGUUUUUGGAGAGGUACAUGAGCUACCACCCCUCAAAAGCUAGCGUUUAUUGAUGUCGCAAAAGGAGUCGCAUGUUUUCAAAGUUGAAGGCAGAAACCUUGAUUACAUUUAUCUGGCAGCUAUCUGCGUCUGGAGAUAGUGGAGUACCUGAAGUGGUAGCUGAUCCUCUAGGUGAAGUUUCGAGGACAUUUCAGGAGCUUGGAAUAUGUGUUGUGCAACAAUGUGCUAAGAUUCGCCAACAAGUCUCAGCAGCAGUGACCUAUGAUAAAUCUAUCAAGGCAAUAAGAGUGAGGGUACCAGAUUCAGAUGAUGAAUUUCUUCUCCAUCCUGUAACUGUGAGACGGAAUGACCGCUCUGCCCAAAGUGUGGAUGAGCGGAUAGGGGAGCAAAAAUUGCAGUAUAAUGAUGGUCCAGAAAAUAUUGAACCUGAAGAAAUUCGGCCCAUGGAAAAUUAUGCCAUGUCAAUAACAUGGCCAGACGGAUUUAGUCGGGUAAAACAUGUUUCGUUUGAAUAUUUUAGUCAAAAGGAUUACUGAAAGAAAAUGGCAUCAGGGAUCAUUUUAUUGCUGGGAUACUAGACAAAGUGACAGUGGGACACUAUAGUGUCAACUGAAGUGUAAUGCUUGCUGAAUCCAUGCCAGGAAUGCUGACGAACUUUCAUCAUAUUUGUAGUUGGCGGUAGAGGCUCAUAAAGGAUAUACCCAACAACAAUUUGACGAGGUGUGCAUUGAAGUGGCCGACUAACAGACUUUGCUGUAGAUUCUGACUACUUUCAUGAUUUUGAGUAAGGCUAGUUAGCUUUUGUUUAACAUUUUUGUAGUAGAUGAAAUGAAUGCAGCAAUUAUGAACAAAAAUGUAAUAGUAAUUGCUUGCCUAGCUAGCCUUGUAGUAGGUUAAUUGGGGUUUUUGUUUUGCCUAUUUUGUGAACUGUCAAUGAUGAUGAUUUUGGACAAAAUACCCCAAUAUAUAUUGAAAUCACUUUGGUCAACUGUGGAUAUUGCAAUAUUAUAUAGUAGCAGCUACAUAUUUUGUGGA